rfam:Stegodyphus mimosarum contig31253, whole genome shotgun sequence.
GCCUUCGUGGUGCAGUGGUCAACAUGCUCGGAUCGUAUUCGAGAAGUCCGUAGUUCGAGUCCCGGCGAAGGCA